CCCCCGUGCUCGAGCCAAGGUGGUGGCCCCUUGUGGGUUCCUACUCGGCAAUUUAACGAACCCCGGCGCGAAAAGCGUCAAGGAACAUAACCUACAUAUGAGCUCCCUCCUACUGCCCGGUUAGCCGGCGUGUGGGUGUGGUGCCAUGUCAUAACAUUAAACGACUCUCGGCAACGGAUAUCUCGGCUCUCGCAUCGAUGAAGAACGUAGCGAAAUGCGAUACUUGGUGUGAAUUGCAGAAUCCCGUGAACCAUCGAGUCUUUGAACGCAAGUUGCGCCCGAGGCCUUUGGCUGAGGGCACGUCUGCCUGGGCGUCACGCAUCGCAACCCCCCAUACAGGGGGAGGAGGAUGGCUUCCCGUGCCUCACCAGGCGCGGUUGGCCUAAAAUUGGAGCCCAAGGCAUUGUGUUGCCGCGGCGUUAGGUGGUGAACAAGGCCUCGGCCGAGCAAACAACCGGUCGCGCAGCCCUUUGACGGUACAAGCUCGUAGGACCCUUUGAUGUUGCCUCAUUGCGACACAAACG
rnacentral:rRNA from 1 species